UUGUACGGAGCAUUUCCUUUGUUCUCAUUCUUUUACAUUUUCAAUAAACUAGAACCCUUAAUUUAAAGAGCAUCUCUUCAAUUAUCCUGCUUUAAUCAAGUGGGAAUUAGGUAAUUUGUGCUCAUUCGAAGCUGUCUGAGUAAUAGAGAGUAAUUCUAUUACUAGAAAGUGUUGAGAUGCGAAAGAACAUGAUUAAGAUAGUGACGUUGGAGACUGCAUGUGAUAGGCAGAACACAUUCUCUAAACGAGAAAUGGAGUCUUGAACAAUGUUAACUGUCGAUUCUAUGCGACAUAGAUAUUGUUCUUCUCAUUUUACUCCUGGCGGAAAGCUGACCAUCUUUUUUGCAGAACAUUGGUAGUUUCUUCUUCCGAAAUCUUUUUUCGAAUGCUUAGAGUGGUAACUCUGAUCUUGACUAGUUAUAGGGAAACAAAUUUCAGUGUUGUAGUUUUAGAUUUUUGGUUUCUACCAAUCAUCUAUCCAGACUUCACUAGUUUUCGAGGUUUCCUUUCAUUUUGAUUAUUUUGAUUUUUCACAACCUAUAUAUUUGUAUAUGUAAUAAGCACUUAUAUUCUAGAAAUUUGCAGUGUUCGACACCCAUGUCAGUCACACGUCGACACUCCAUUUUCUUCUUACAUCUAGCAGUAUUUAUAUGCUUUUUGUUUAGGUCAUGGUUUAGCUAUUCGAAUACAUCUUCUUGUUUCUUAUGCAUAUGGUGUUUGGAAUCAAGAGGGAAUAUAUAUUAAUAAAAACAUACUCUAAUUGACACCCAUUAUUAACUACCAUGGCAGAGAAGUCUCUUAACUUUUUUGUAAAAAGUGUAAUGAGGAAAUAUCAUGCUUUCCUCCACAAAAAAGACAAUAUACACAUGUACAUGGUGAUAAUGGUAGGUGUCUAUGAGCUUGUGUUUUUAUUAGAAUAUAUGUUCUUGGUUCCAAACUGACCCUAAAUGAAGUAAUAUCUAAUAGAAGAACUUGCAAUGUCAUUAUACGCCUGUACAGACAUGUCGGCAUGGUGGGUUUUCGAGGACCUUGUGUCCAUUUUCUUGUUUCCUUGCCUGAGAAAACACUGCUGUACAUGUCUGAAACAGGUAGAUGUAUCUGUGCUCAUGUUGCAUUGUUGCAACAUUCUUGUUUGGUUAUCUUGUCUGCCCCUCUUUAAAUCCUGGAUUGUUGAAAAUGUGUAAGAUCUGUUCUAAUGGAAUGCUUUACUCUUUUAGGUUUGUCUUCUUUCAGUGAUUUGAGUAGUCCUUGAAAGAUAUUCGGGGAUAAGUCCUUGAGAAUGAAGAAAAAAGGAAUGACAGAAUUCUGCAAGAUCGAGAUUGUGCUUUGUUAACUCAAUUUCUCCAGAAAUCAUUCAGAAGGCAGGAUCACGGGAUUGAUGUAAAAUCUUUUUUCUGAUGAAUGG